UACAGAGGGGGCAAGCGUUGUUCGGAAUUACUGGGCGUAAAGGGCGCGUAGGCGGCCCGCUAAGUCGAACGUGAAAUCCCCGAGCUCAACUCGGGAACUGCGUCCGAUACUGGUGGGCUUGAAUCCGAGAGAGGGAUGCGGAAUUCCAGGUGUAGCGGUGAAAUGCGUAGAUAUCUGGAGGAACACCGGUGGCGAAGGCGCCACUCUGGGCCGAAACUGACGCUGAGGAGCGAAAGCGUGGGUAGCAAACAGG
rnacentral:rRNA from 1 species